rnacentral:rRNA from 1 species
CCCAGUAAACGGCGGCCGUAACUAUAACGGUCCUAAGGUAGCGAAAUUCCUUGUCGGGUAAGUUCCGACCCGCACGAAAGGCGUAACGAUUUGGGCACUGUCUCAACGAGAGACUCGGUGAAAUCAUAGUACCUGUGAAGAUGCAGGUUACCCGCGACAGGACGGAAAGACCCCGUGGAGCUUUACUGUAGCCUGAUAUUGAAAUUCGGCACAGCUUGUACAGGAUAGGUAGGAGCCUUUGAAACGUGAGCGCUAGCUUACGUGGAGGCGCUGGUGGGAUACUACCCUAGCUGUGUUGGCUUUCUAACCCGCACCACUUAUCGUGGUGGGAGACAGUGUCAGGCGGGCAGUUUGACUGGGGCGGUCGCCUCCUAAAAGGUAACGGAGGCGCUCAAAGGUUCCCUCAGAAUGGUUGGAAAUCAUUCAUAGAGUGUAAAGGCAUAAGGGAGCUUGACUGCGAGACCUACAAGUCGAGCAGGGUCGAAAGACGGACUUAGUGAUCCGGUGGUUCCGCAUGGAAGGGCCAUCGCUCAACGGAUAAAAGCUACCCCGGGGAUAACAGGCUUAUCUCCCCCAAGAGUUCACAUCGACGGGGAGGUUUGGCACCUCGAUGUCGGCUCAUCGCAUCCUGGGGCUGUAGUCGGUCCCAAGGGUUGGGCUGUUCGCCCAUUAAAGCGGUACGCGAGCUGGGUUCAGAACGUCGUGAGACAGUUCGGUCCCUAUCCGUCGUGGGCGUAGGAAAUUUGAGAGGAGCUGUCCUUAGUACGAGAGGACCGGGAUGGACAUACCUCUGGUGUACCAGUUGUCGUGCCAACGGCAUAGCUGGGUAGCUAUGUGUGGACGGGAUAAGUGCUGAAAGCAUCUAA